GAUGAACGCUGGCGGUAUGCCUAACACAUGCAAGUCGUACGAGAGUUUUUAACUCAAGUGGCGGACGGGUGAGUAACACGUGAGAAUUUGCCUUUAGGAGGGGGAUAACAGAGUGAAAACGCUGCUAAUACCCCAUAUGCUUUCGAGUGAAAUGGAUUUAUUCGCCUAAAGAGAAGCUCGCGGCUGAUUAGCUUGUUGGUAAGGUAAUGGCUUACCAAGGCGACGAUCAGUAUCUGGUUUGAGAGGACGAUCAGACACACUGGAACUGAGACACGGUCCAGACUCCUACGGGAGGCAGCAGUGGGGAAUUUUCCGCAAUGGGCGAAAGCCUGACGGAGCAAUACCGCGUGAGGGAUGACUGCCUAUGGGUUGUAAACCUCUUUUCUCAGGGAGGAAAUCAAUGACGUUACCUGAGGAAUAAGCAUCGGCUAACUCCGUGCCAGCCGCCGCCGUAAC
rnacentral:rRNA from 1 species